rnacentral:rRNA from 1 species
UACAGAGGUCCCAAGCGUUGUUCGGAUUCACUGGGCGUAAAGGGUGCGUAGGUGGCCGGUUAAGUCUGACGUGAAAUCUCCGAGCCUAACUCGGAAACUGCAUCGGAAACUACCCGGCUCGAGGGUUGGAGGGGGGACUGGAAUACUUGGUGUAGCAGUGAAAUGCGUAGAUAUCAAGUGGAACACCAGUGGCGAAGGCGAGUCCCUGGACAACUCCUGACACUGAGGCACGAAAGCUAGGGGAGCAAACGGG